UACAGAGGGUGCAAGCGUUGUUCGGAAUUAUUGGGCGUAAAGCGCGUGUAGGCGGCUUUGUAAGUUAGAGGUGAAAGCCCGGAGCUCAACUCCGGAAUUGCCUUUAAGACUGCAUCGCUAGAAUUGUGGAGAGGUAAGUGGAAUUCCGAGUGUAGAGGUGAAAUUCGUAGAUAUUCGGAAGAACACCAGUGGCGAAGGCGACUUACUGGACACAUAUUGACGCUGAGGUGCGAAAGCGUGGGGAGCAAACAGG
rnacentral:rRNA from 1 species